CGAACGCUGGCGGCGUGCUUAACACAUGCAAGUCGAACGGAGUAUUGUGAUUUAUCAUGGUACUUAGUGGCGAACGGGUGAGUAACGCGUAGACAACCUGCCUCUUAGAUGGGGACAACAUCGCGAAAGCGGUGCUAAUACCGAAUGAAGUGGAGCUUCCGCAUGGGAGCAUCACCAAAGGUGGCCUCUAUUUAUAAGCUACCACUGAGAGAUGGGUCUGCGUCUGAUUAGCUAGUUGGUGGGGUAAUGGCCCACCAAGGCGACGAUCAGUAGCCGGUCUGAGAGGAUGAACGGCCACAUUGGGACUGAGACACGGCCCAAACUCCUACGGGAGGCAGCAGUGGGGAAUCUUCCGCAAUGGACGAAAGUCUGACGGAGCAACGCCGCGUGAGUGAAGAAGGUUUUCGGAUCGUAAAGCUCUGUUGUUUGAGACGAAUGUGCAGACUUUGAAUAAGGGUUUGUAAUGACGGUAUUAAACGAGAAAGCCACGGCUAACUACGUG
rnacentral:rRNA from 1 species